AACGAACGCUGGCGGCAGGCUUAACACAUGCCAGUCGAGCGCCUCGCAAGAGGAGCGGCAGACGGGUGAGUAACGCGUGGGAACGUACCCUUAUCUUCGGAAUAGCUCUGGGAAACUGGAAGUAAUACCGAAUGUGCCCUUAGGGGGAAAGAUUUAUCGGAUAAGGAUCGGCCCGCGUUGGAUUAGCUAGUUGGUGGGGUAAAGGCCUACCAAGGCGACGAUCCAUAGCUGGUCUGAGAGGAUGAUCAGCCACAUUGGGACUGAGACACGGCCCAAACUCCUACGGGAGGCAGCAGUGGGGAAUAUUGGACAAUGGGCGCAAGCCUGAUCCAGCCAUGCCGCGUGAGUGAUGAAGGCCUUAGGGUUGUAAAGCUCUUUCACCGGAGAAGAUAAUGACGGUAUCCGGAGAAGAAGCCCCGGCUAACUUCGUG
rnacentral:rRNA from 1 species